CCCUUAGAUGUUCUGGGCCGCGCGCGUGCUACACUGAGUGGAUCAGCGGGUCAGGUUGCGCGAAAGUGUUUCCUAAUCUUGAAAUCCGCUCGUGAUGGGGAUUGACGGUUGCAAUUUUCCGUCAUGAACGAGGAAUACCUUGUAAGCGCGGGUCAUCAUCCCGCGCUGAAUACGUCCCUGCCCUUUGUACACACCGCCCGUCGCUCCUACCGAUUGGGUGGUCCGGUGAGGCUUUGGGAUCUGAGCGGAAAGAGCGUUUCGCUGUUUCUGCUCGGAAAACUCAGUCGAACCUUAUCAUUUAGAGGAAGGAGAAGUCGUAACA
rnacentral:rRNA from 1 species